GCAAGUCGAACGAGAAACUUACUUAGCUUGCUUUGAAAGUUUCUAGUGGCGAACGGGUGAGUAACACGUGAGUUACCUGCUUCGAAGUGCGAGAUAGCCCGGGGAAACACGGCUUAUUACCCCCUGUGAUCGUAAGAUUAAAGGCGGCUUCGGCUGUCGCUUCGAGAUGGGCUCGCGGCCUAUCAGUUAGUUGGUGAGGUAAAAGCUCACCAAGACGAUGACGGGUAGCUGGUCUGAGAGGACGAUC
rnacentral:rRNA from 1 species